GGAUAUAGAAUAAGUAGAUGGGCUCCAAAAAUAACCCAAUUUGCCUCCUCCAAAAUUCGAGUAUCAUGCUCAAUUUGAAAGAGAACAGUACCAUUUUGAUCCAAUAUUGUGUAGGACAUGAAGAAUUAGUAAAGCCGCUCUUUACUAGGAGGCUUUGAGAGCUCUAAGGGACCUCCAACCUCCUCAUUUGGGCCUUCGUGUAGCAAGAUCAAAAUUAACUCUAACGUUUGUUUACUUUCAUUCCAGCUUUUCGCAAAAAAUAACUCAACAGUAGACGUGGAAGCAGUUGAAUCAUCAUCAUUACCUUUCUCAACAGUUAUUUAUGCAAGGGAUAACCACGUCACGCACAACCUGCUUUCGGCUCAGUUUGUGCUUCCUAUCCAUUUGCGCGGUACCACGCCCCGAUGAGUGGCAUCAACUUUCACCAGUUUUACAUCUCUAAACCAACGCUGCUAAUGAAAUGCUCAAGAUCCCUAAGCACAUUAAAGGGUUGCAGCAUUCUUAAGAAGCAUAAGUUGUCAUGCACUUACCAGUCAGCAAAAUUAUGUGAGUGGCAUGAACUACCUUAUAAAACGAAUGCUGAGAAAAUUUCCAUGAGAGUGCCAAUCGGCAAUACCAACAACACCAUUCUUGUGGGCAUGAUUACAUUUCUUGUCACAAUCGGUGGCUGCGUUUGCAUCCUGAGUUCUCUAUUUCUUUGCCUGUAAGUGUCCGUCUGCAAAUGAUCUUCCCAAAUUUCAUCGAAAUCGAUUCAUUUCAAAAACUUUUUCCAUGAUUUAUGGUACAAUCUUUUAAUCCUUUAAUGCAGAUUGCGCUGGAAGAAAAGUCACACACAUGAUCCUAUCAUAAACUACCAGAUAGUCUAGGAAUCUAUACUGUAUUUUCUUCAUUUCUUCAUCAAUAAUUUUUGUGAAAAAUGUUUUCUUCAGCUAUGGCGAUUGUUUUCAUCGUCAAUUCCAAUCUCCUACACAUCAAAAACCAAAUUUUACUGGGAUCGAAUCGUGCAUCAAACGUUGCUAUUGGCUCAACAAAUUAAUCAAUAAAUUUUUAAAAACACAGGACAAAUGAUCACAAAAAAUAAUAACCAUUCCUGUGAGAGGUACAAUCAAAUUUUUCUCAAUCAAUGCCUAUCUCAACCGAUAACACCUCAUUCAAGAAGUGAUGCAUGAAAGUUUCAGGGAAUGCCAGAAUUGUUUUCUACUAAAUUCUUUGCAAAGGGAAUACGUAACACAAUUCUUAAACUCGAGCCUUGUUUAGUGGUCCAUUUUGAUGUAGUUGAAUAGAAAGAAAGUUAUGCGGCAACCGCAACUGUCAAGCUGUGUUUCAUUCGAUAAGUUUGGUGUCUGUGAAUCAUCAGAUCAUGUUUGGUUGAUUGGCAGGUGCCGAAAAUGAACUAGAUUGCUUUUGCUCUGGUCUAAAUCAGGAGCAUAUUCUUCCUCAGGUGGAUGAAUGACUGGCUCAAAAUGUUCCAGCAGACCAACAAAUCUUGUUCACGAAUGAGCCUGGAAAGCAGAAGACUGUAUCAAACAGUAAGUUUCCAUCACUGAUUCCCCCUUCAGUAUGUUGCACCAAUCAUAGAACUUGAAUGCAAUCGUUUUGAUGGUUGUUUUGUUUCCUCUCUCUCCCUUUUAGUCUUGCACAUUAUUUGUUUCCAAGCCCACUUUUUGCUUAUUGUUGUCCUCCGCUCUUUCACCUAGUAAAGGGGAAAAAAGUGAAGUAAACAAAAUGUUAAAUUGUAUUAAAUUGGUAGAAUUUAUGUCAAUUUAUGGUCAGAACAUUCAUCGAAAUCAAACUCAGAUGGUUGCAGAUUAUAUAGCAGCAAAAAAUUAUAAGAUCUGUCGGAACACCUUUUCAUUGCCAGUAAUAACAAAGAUAUCACUCUCCGAAAAACAACGUCUAUAAUCCUUCCGACUGCAGUUCUACUCACCAUGGGUUUAUCAAUGUUAUAUUUGCAUAACUUUGAUUGAUGCCUCUGAAGUAAAGCAAAUGUUGUGAAAUUAGGAUACUGCAUUUGAACAAGCGCUAUCAUUUUUUGCUUAGCUUUAAUCUAAACCAUGAAAUUACAA
rnacentral:lncRNA from 1 species